AUUGAACGCUGGCGGCAUGCUUUACACAUGCAAGUCGAACGGUAACAGGCCGCAAGGUGCUGACGAGUGGCGAACGGGUGAGUAAUGCAUCGGAACGUGCCCAGUCGUGGGGGAUAACGCAGCGAAAGCUGCGCUAAUACCGCAUACGAUCUAUGGAUGAAAGCGGGGGACCGUAAGGCCUCGCGCGAUUGGAGCGGCCGAUGUCAGAUUAGGUAGUUGGUGGGGUAAAGGCUCACCAAGCCAACGAUCUGUAGCUGGUCUGAGAGGACGACCAGCCACACUGGGACUGAGACACGGCCCAGACUCCUCCGGGAGGCAGCAGUGGGGAAUUUUGGACAAUGGGCGCAAGCCUGAUCCAGCAAUGCCGCGUGCAGGAAGAAGGCCUUCGGGUUGUAAACUGCUUUUGUACGGAACGAAAAGGCUCUGGAUAAUACCUGGGGCUCAUGACGGUACCGUAAGAAUAAGCACCGGCUAACUACGUGCCAGCCGCCGCCGUAACAC
rnacentral:rRNA from 1 species